rnacentral:rRNA from 1 species
GUGGGGAAUCUUCCGCAAUGGACGAAAGUCUGACGGAGCAACGCCGCGUGAGUGAAGAAGGUUUUCGGAUCGUAAAGCUCUUUCGUUAGGGACGAACGUGCUCUUUGUGAAUAAUGAGGAGUAAUGACGGUACCUAAAUAAGAAGCCACGGCUAACUACGUGCCAGCAGCCGCGGUAAUACGUAGGUGGCAAGCGUUGUCCGGAAUUAUUGGGCGUAAAGCGCGCGCAGGCGGGAUAUCAAGGCUGUCUUAAAAGUGCGAGGCUCAACCUCGUGAGGGGACGGAAACUGGUAUUCUUGAGUGUCGGAGAGGAAAGUGGAAUUCCAAGUGUAGCGGUGAAAUGCGUAGAGAUUUGGAAGAACACCAGUGGCGAAGGCGACUUUCUGGACGAUGUCUGACGCUGAGGCGCGAAAGCUAGGGGAGCGAACGGGAUUAGAUACCCCAGUAGUCC